rnacentral:rRNA from 1 species
GGACUACCGGGGUAUCUAAUCCUGUUUGCUCCCCACGCUUUCGCGCCUCAGCGUCAGUAAUGAGCCAGUAUGUCGCCUUCGCCACUGGUGUUCUUCCGAAUAUCUACGAAUUUCACCUCUACACUCGGAGUUCCACAUACCUCUCUCACACUCAAGACACCCAGUAUCAAAGGCAGUUCCAGAGUUGAGCUCUGGGAUUUCACCCCUGACUUAAAUGUCCGCCUACGCGCCCUUUACGCCCAGUAAUUCCGAGCAACGCUAGCCCCCUUCGUAUUACCGCGGCUGCUGGCAC